rnacentral:rRNA from 1 species
AUGAACGCUAGCGACAGGCUUAACACAUGCAAGUCGAGGGGCAGCGAGAGAGUAGCAAUACUUUUGUCGGCGACCGGCGGACGGGUGCGUAACGCGUAUGCAACCUACCUUAUACAGGGGGAUAACCUUUCGAAAGGGAGACUAAUACCGCAUAACAUUACUUUGAGGCAUCUUGAGGUAAUUAAAUCUUCGGAGGUAUAAGAUGGGCAUGCGUAGCAUUAGCUAGAUGGUGCGGUAACGGCGUACCAUGGCGACGAUGCUUAGGGGUUCUGAGAGGAAGGUCCCCCACACUGGUACUGAGAUACGGACCAGACUCCUACGGGAGGCAGCAGUGAGGAAUAUUGGUCAAUGGUCGGAAGACUGAACCAGCCAUGCCGCGUGCAGGAAGAAUGUCUUAUGGAUUGUAAACUGCUUUUGUAUGGGGCUAAUAAUAACUUUGCGAAGUUAGAUGCAGGUACCAUACGAAUAAGGAUCGGCUAACUCCGUG